rnacentral:rRNA from 1 species
AAUAGAUACCCGGGUAGUCCACGCCGUAAACGAUGAAUACUAGGUGUAGGAGUUGUCAUGACCUCUGCGCCGCCGCAAACGCAUUAAGUAUUCCGCCUGGGGAGUACGAUCGCAAGAUUAAAACUCAAAGGAAUUGACGGGGGCCCGCACAAGCAGCGGAGCAUGUGGUUUAAUUCGAAGCAACGCGAAGAACCUUACCUAGACUUGACAUCUCCUGAAUUACUCUUAAUCGAGGAAGUCCCUUCGGGGACAGGAAGACAGGUGGUGCAUGGUUGUCGUCAGCUCGUGUCGUGAGAUGUUGGGUUAAGUCCCGCAACGAGCGCAACCCUUAUUGUUAGUUGCUACCAUUAAGUUGAGCACUCUAGCAAGACUGCCCGGGUUAACCGGGAGGAAGGUGGGGAUGACGUCAAAUCAUCAUGCCCCUUAUGUCUAGGGCUACACACGUGCUACAAUGGCAAGUACAAAAGAUGCAAUACCGCAAGGUGGAGCUAAACUUAAAAACUUGUCUCAGUUCGGACUGUAGGCUGAAACUCGCCUAC